rnacentral:rRNA from 1 species
GACGGAGGAUGCAAGUGUUAUCCGGAAUCACUGGGCGUAAAGCGUCUGUAGGUGGUCAAAUAAGUCAACUGUUAAAUCUUGAGGCUCAACCUCAAAAUCGCAGUCGAAACUAUUCGACUAGAGUAUAGUAGGGGUAAAGGGAAUUUCCAGUGGAGCGGUGAAAUGCGUAGAGAUUGGAAAGAACACCGGUGGCGAAGGCACUUUACUGGGCUAUUACUAACACUGAGAGACGAAAGCUAGGGUAGCAAAUGGG